rnacentral:tRNA from 1 species
GCCGGGGUGGCCGAGUGGUUCAGGCGGCGGGCUGCAGACUCGCUGCACAUGGGUUCAAAUCCCAUCCCCGGCUCCA